UUUAAAUUGAUUGGCAGAACGGAUCACAAGACUGCUGAUUGGUUCGUAAAAUAAAUCAAACGAUAUAAUUGGUUUAUUCCAAUCGGCUAGAUCUGAAACAAAGAUUUCUCGGCCAAUAAAAGCCAAGUCCUCAGCUAUUGUAACGUUCUGUAAAGUCUUCGUCAACGAUCGGUUCCUUUUCCAUUUAAAGAAGAAGAAGAAAAAAAACCCUGCUUGCCCAUGAUUCCUCACAACUGCAUCUCUCCGACCCUCAAUAAGCAUCUUGUUGUCCUGCUCUUCGGACAUUUUCAUCUGAAACUUGGGUAUUGUUUCUGCUGGAACUAAUGAAUGUUCUGGUUUUGGUUUGCCGAAAAGGAUCUAGUCUUGAAACUACGGGGAAGGGCAAGAAAAGAUGAGUAGAAAAUGUGGAAGAUGUUUGCUGUAGAAAAUGCGAAUGAUCCAGGCUCGAAAAAGGGACCCUUAACAAGGGAUAAAAGGAUUCCAUGAGUCACUAGCUGCGUCGAUCUAGCAGCUUCAUGGGGGGGCGCAUCAAGUUAAAAUAUGAGAAGUACUGAAGCUGCAUAGUUAGCUUCGUCAUCAAUAUCAACAGCAUGACAAGUGCAUGCGCAGCAAAACAGAGACAACGUUUUGGUUUGGACGAGUGGCCGGUGAUUUUAGAAGAUGAAAACAGGAUGCUCGAACUGCUAAAACAUGCUUCUGUGUCAGAUUAUAUGCAAAUAUGAAUGCCACUCUCGAAGGACAGCAACUCUGAUAAGGUACCACUCUUUUAUUGAACAAUUACUUUAAUUUGAAACUGAGAACCAAAAAAUGGCACUAACAAUUAUUAUUUUUCAAAGAUGUUAUCCCUUAAUUUUCUUCUUCUUCUUGUUUUCCCCCCCCUUUUUUUGACACUGGAUUUAAGCCACAGAUAUAAGUAGUUUUAUCUUCCUCUUUCUAAGUUGUGUUUUUAAAUUAAUUCCUGCUUACCAACAGCUAAUUGCUUUAUUCCCACCACACUUACCACAAAUCCCACUACCUUAAGAAUAGGCCUCCCGAGUUACAUAAUCUGUUGAUCAAUUAAUCUUAGUAAUCUCAUUUAUUUUUUAUAACCAAGGUAGUUAAUAGCUUAUACUUGUAUGUGGUAGGCCAAAGUAGCUAGUACUUGUAAAAAAUCUCUUUUGAUAGAUAUGAAGACUCUUCAAUACUUAAAUAAGUAUCUUUUGAGAGAGAAAAAAAUACAAGAAUAUUCUAAAAAGAGAUGAUCUGAAAAUAUAUAUGCACCAGAGAAUGAAAAUUAUGAAUCUUUGUUCUGAAGGUCGCAUAGUGUAUUUAUAACUCAUAAGUCUUGUCCUUUUAUGAAGAGAAGAGUCUAGAGUGUGUUCUUAUCCUGAUAGCAUUUAAUGAAUAAUAAAUAUCUAUUAUAUUUGUAUUAAUAUUUGAUGAGAAUAUGAUGGGUUUUUUAAGGAUUUUUAUACACCUAAAAGAUGUAGGGAGAUUAGGGUUCAAGACAUCAAAUGUAGUUAAGUCCAUGAAGGCUGAGUUUUUCCUCGAAAUUAGAUCUAAGAGAGGUUGUUCAUUCUCCUAAAUGUGCCAAAAGAGGAUGGUCAUUUAUUUGGGUGUGCCAAAGAAAGAUGAUCAUUCCCUUGGGUAUGCCUAAAGAAGAUGGUAGUUAACCUUGGAUUUGGCUAAUUGUUGAGUCUAAGUGCCUUGGGUUUGACAUAUUUGUUAGAUUCACAUUACCUCAUUCACUUGGACGUGCCAAGGGCUUGGCAUACUACUAUGUCUAGGGGUGAUCAUUUUUUGUUCGGUUUGGUUUUUAUAAAAAAAAAGUAACCAAACCGAAUUUUUUUUAUAAAAAAAACCGAAACCAGUUCAAACCAACCGGUUUCGGUUCGGUUCUAUUUUUUUAGGACAAAAACCGGUUUGUAUCGGUUUUGACUCGUUUUGGCUUGGUUUUUUUUCCGGUUUUUUUCGGUUUUGGUUUUUUCAAUUUCAGGCUUAUAAAACUGAAACCGAACCGGUCGGUUUUUUCAAAAUUUUAAUCGGUUUUUUUUUCCAGUUUUCUCGGUUUAAUCGGUUUUUCAGUUUUUUUGCUCACCCCUAACUAUGCCUUGCAUGCCCGAGUCUGGCACCAAACCCAGCAUUCUUGGAGCUUCGCACACUACCAAGCCCUCAUGUGGCUAGGCUUGACACACUAUCAAGCCCCUACUUAGAACAUGCUCAUUUAUUUGCAAAGUUUUAAGACCCGGCCCGGUGGCCGGCCCGGUCCAAGGCCCGGGUUCCGGGUUUUGGCCGGGUCACCGGGUUUGACCGGGUCGGCCGGGUCAAUUCUUUUUUAAAAAAAAAUCAAAACGACGUCGUUUUAGUAAAAAAAACAAAAAAAAACAAAAGUCAACGGGUUUGUCACCGGGUCUUGACCGGGUCUUGCCGGGUCAGCCGGGUCACCGGGUCGACCCACCGGGUCAGCCGGGUCACACCGGGUUUUUCCUUCCCCCGUUUUUUCAUCAACCCGGCCCGGUUCCGGCCCCGGGUCGGCCGGGUCCCGGGUCGACCCGCCGGGCCGGGCCGGGUUUCAAAACUAUGUUUAUUUGGGCAUGCAUACUGCCAAGUCUAGCAUGUUUGGGAUUUAGCACGCUAUCAAGCCUAAAAGAGUUUGAAUUUGGCUGGUACUAGACCCAUUAUUCUUGAGCUUGGCAAUGUGAUUGGGCUUGACACACCCCCAAGCCUCUGCUCAGGACAUACUCAUUCUUUUAAGUAUGUCCGAAGGAGGGUUAUAAGGGUUUAUAUAUAUAUAAAGCAAAAAAACUUAUGAUUACAGUACGUUUACGGCAUGCAGGCAUCACCAUUCAAUAUCCUUUGGAACUUUUGUUUCUGUGAAAUUCAGAAUAAGCUUUGGUAAAACAGUUGCAAAAAACAUUCGGACACAACAACAGACACAAACUGGUCUAUUUUUGAAAGGUUUUUUUAUUGUCAAUGAAAAACAAUUACUUCCAAAUACUUCUUUUUGUUUCUUUCAGAAUUUGGUAUUAUUGUUCUGCUAAUAAAAAAGAAAAAAAAGUGCAUCUCAAGAGUGAUGCGCGAGAUAGCAUGCAGCAAGAGUAGUUUAAAAGGUCAUGAAUUGAAUUUUUAUUUUAUCUAACCGACCAAUAUAUAAAAUCCUGGGUAAAAGGAGUCCAGGCCCUUUUUGGCAAAAAGAUACGCAUUUAAUUAGAUCAUUACACCCAUUCAUCAAUCCAAUUCAACCCAAGCGUUUAAUUAGGUCUGCUACUGUUUUUUUUUUUUGUUUUCCAACUUUACUUGUGUAGUUGUGUACCAGGUAUAGAUGGUAUGCUACGUUGACCUUGUUAGCCUUACUUUCACGGUUUGUUUAGUGUGAAUUUGGUUAUGUUUUAAAAUAUUUUUUAUUUAAAAAUAUAUUAAAAUAAUAUUUUUUUAUUUUUUAAAAAUUAUUUUUACCAUCCGUCCAUUAAAAUAAUUUAAAAAUACUAAAAAAUUAAUUUAAAACAAAUAAAAACAUAAUUGUUUUUUAAUUUUUUCAAAAAUACUUCAAAAAAAAAAAGAAAAAAAAAAAGGAGAUACUUGAUCAUUCCUGAUCACUUCAAUAAAAUCCUAAAAGGACCACGGCGCCAUUUGAAGACGAGGACAAAAAUGAACACACGAAAGCCAAAGGUUAAUCAAAAAGUGAAGACCAAUGAGUCCCUGAGUGACGUAUCGCACGAAAGUUUAUAGCCAUGACAGGAUACCUUCACGGUGCACGUAGAUAUCGCGCGUUUUCGCACAAUUUCACUAAAAUGCCAUGCUUUCACUUAUCAGCUUGUAUAUCUAAACAUCAUCUCUCGAACUCAAUUGACAAUUAUGAACAAACUUCGUUAAGAUCGAGCUUUAUGAGUUCUCUUGUCUUUGUUUCCAUUGUUAUCCUAUUUUGGAGUUGGUCUUCUCUAGUUCUGUUUGCUUGCGUUUUGUACAAGUAGCAGCUAAUGGAUCCGCUCGAUGUGUAUUUAACAGAGCUGUUAGAUACGAUGCAUCAACCUAAUAGAAAUGAAUGUGAUGUUCACGUUUUAACUUCAAUCUCCUUAGUUGCUGUUGUGGAUGAAAUACGGCAACUUCUUUGUUAGCAAGAAAGAUUGUGGAAUAUAUGUGGGUGGUGUAUGCACGAGCAUAUGUUUUGUAUUAAUGGCACCAUUUUGUUUCACCAACAAACCCUAAAUAUGUCUUUCGGAAUACGAUGUGGCCAUAACAGAGCAGGUUUUCUAAUUGCCCAGGAGGAGCCGAGACAUCUGCACUCAUCAAUGAAAUCGCCAACAGCUAUGGAGCGAACCAUGUGCCAAUCGAGCAGCACCUAUCACCUUUACCUGGAGAGUCUCCUAACACAGCUCAUGCUAAGAUGAAAAGAAAAGCUCCUGAAACUGCUUUGGAUCGUGACAAGAAAAGAGAGAUUGGCAAGGCAUAUCGGCUGCAAUGCAGGGAAAAGAAAAUGAAAACUGAGCAGGACUUGGUUUUGCUCACCGAAGAAAAUAAUAAUUUAAAGAAAGAGAAUGAACAGUUGAAAAGGGAAGGAGUUAAGCAGCCGGAGAUGGUGCAAACCCGGAAAGAAGAAAUGAAAGUAGUAAAGAAUGAACUUUGCCAUUUGAAGGACCAGCUUCAGAUACAAAAUGCUGUCGUGGAAGUGCUCUCAAGCCAAGUGGCUAGUAGGAAAAAUAAUAUGGAUCUUCAGUGCGAAAAUAAACAGCUAGGAUUUCAAAAAUGUCUAUUGAUCAAGAAGAUUAACGACAAUGACUAUUUAAACGACGUCAUUCAACUUCAAGAAAACUAUACAAAAUUAGAACAAGACAAGAAUGCUCUCCAAGUGAUUAUCGAUGCCUUAUGUGCAAAGAUUAAACAAGGAUAAUGACCUGAUCAUACGUACCAAAACAAGCAUUCUAAGACUUGCAGCCCUUGUUAACAAUGGACGAUGCAUAUCUCUUGCAGCUACUUACUGUGUCAAUGGACGGUGCUGCCAUUCAAGCUUGGCUGGUGCAUGUGGGCUGCCAUUUGACAUGAAUAUAUGGCAACAACCCAACAAAUUCCGUGGGGUGUUUUGUAACAGGUUUUGUAGUAGAGAUUUGUUAUGGAAUUUGGGGAUUAGAUCGAUGUUUGCAUCUUGAAGUUGAUUCCUUUAUGUUUAGACUUUGGUAGAUGAUCGAGGAGAGGGAAGGCCCUAUAAAAGUUAAAUGCAAGAAAUAAAGUUUAGUUUAACUAGAUGGUUUUGUAUGAACAUCAAAGAAGUAUCUUCUCUUAAUUCAUUAAGAUCUUAAACA